UGAGGAAUAUUGGACAAUGGGUGAGAGCCUGAUCCAGCCAUCCCGCGUGAAGGACGACGGCCCUAUGGGUUGUAAACUUCUUUUGUAUAGGGAUAAACCUUUCCACGUGUGGAAAGCUGAAGGUACUAUACGAAUAAGCACCGGCUAACUCCGUGCCAGCAGCCGCGGUAAUACGGAGGGUGCAAGCGUUAUCCGGAUUUAUUGGGUUUAAAGGGUCCGUAGGCGGAUCUGUAAGUCAGUGGUGAAAUCUCAUAGCUUAACUAUGAAACUGCCAUUGAUACUGCAGGUCUUGAGUAAAGUAGAAGUGGCUGGAAUAAGUAGUGUAGCGGUGAAAUGCAUAGAUAUUACUUAGAACACCAAUUGCGAAGGCAGGUCACUAUGUUUCAACUGACGCUGAUGGACGAAAGCGUGGGGAGCGAACAGG
rnacentral:rRNA from 1 species